rnacentral:rRNA from 1 species
UAGGGAAUCUUCCGCAAUGGACGAAAGUCUGACGGAGCAACGCCGCGUGAGUGAUGAAGGCUUUCGGGUCGUAAAACUCUGUUGUUAGGGAAGAACAAGUGCUAGUUAAAUAAGCUGGCACCUUGACGGUACCUAACCAGAAAGCCACGGCUAACUACGUGCCAGCAGCCGCGGUAAUACGUAGGUGGCAAGCGUUAUCCGGAAUUAUUGGGCGUAAAGCGCGCGCAGGUGGUUUCUUAAGUCUGAUGUGAAAGCCCACGGCUCAACCGUGGAGGGUCAUUGGAAACUGGGAGACUUGAGUGCAGAAGAGGAAAGUGGAAUUCCGUGUGUAGCGGUGAAAUGCGUAGAGAUAUGGAGGAACACCAGUGGCGAAGGCGACUUUCUGGUCUGUAACUGACACUGAGGCGCGAAAGCGUGGGGAGCAAACA